UAUUUAAAGUCUUACCUGCCCAAUGAUUUUUUAAUGGCCGCGGUAUUUUGACCGUGCAAAGGUAGCAUAAUCAUUUGUUCUUUAAUUGUGAACUUGUAUGAAGGGUUUGACGAGAAGUUUUCUGUCUCUUUUUAAUUAAUUGAAUUUUAUUUUUGAGUGAAAAAGCUUAAAUUUUUUAAAUAGACGAGAAGACCCUAUAGAGUUUAAUUUGAGUUUAAGUUAUUUAAUUUAAUUAGAAUUUUGUUGGGGUGAUUGAAAAAUUUACUAAACUUUUUUUGGUUUAAAUAUUAAUGAAUAGAUUAUUGAUCCAGUUUUACUGAUUAUAAGAUUAAAUUACCUUAGGGAUAACAGCGUUAUUUUUCUUGAUAGUUCAUAUUGAAAGGAAAGUUUGCGACCUCGAUGUUGGAUUAAAAAUAAUAACUGGUGUAGUAGCUAGUUAAUUAGGUCUGUUCGACCUUUAAAAUUUU
rnacentral:rRNA from 1 species